AUUGAACGCUGGCGGCAUGCCUUACACAUGCAAGUCGAACGGCAGCACGGGAGCAAUCCUGGUGGCGAGUGGCGAACGGGUGAGUAAUGUAUCGGAACGUGCCCAGUCGUGGGGGAUAACGUAGCGAAAGCUACGCUAAUACCGCAUACGAUCUGUGGAUGAAAGCGGGGGACCGUAAGGCCUCGCGCGAUUGGAGCGGCCGAUAUCAGAUUAGGUAGUUGGUGGGGUAAAGGCCUACCAAGCCGACGAUCUGUAGCUGGUCUGAGAGGACGACCAGCCACACUGGGACUGAGACACGGCCCAGACUCCUACGGGAGGCAGCAGUGGGGAAUUUUGGACAAUGGGCGCAAGCCUGAUCCAGCAAUGCCGCGUGCAGGAUGAAGGCCUUCGGGUUGUAAACUGCUUUUGUACGGAGCGAAAAGGCUCUCUCUAAUACAGGGGGCUCAUGACGGUACCGUAAGAAUAAGCACCGGCUAACUCCGUGCCAGCAGCCGCCGUAAUAC
rnacentral:rRNA from 1 species